ACAGGCUUUUGAUACGAAAGGUUUAUUUAACGAAAAGACUGAUGAAUCAAGUCCAUACAUGAAAGCAAGAACACUGCUAAAUCUUACACCAUUCACCAACAGCCUCGUUUCCAAAAACAACAAUGGCAAAGGCAAUUUCCCCAGCAGCAAUAUCAGCAGCAGGUUUCUCAGGGGUAUAGGCCUUACAGAAAUUCUCAAGGUAGAUCUUCUCAGCAGUCUUCUACCGCUCCACCCUACAAACAGCAAACAUCACAUAAGCAUCAAUCUUAUCGCCCACCCAACAAGAAAUCCAAGCAGUACCCUUGACUGCAUCAACCAUUCAGGAUCAUCACACGCGACUUGCCCCAUUCUACCACAAUUGGCAAAGGAUAUCAAAGGACAAGUGGGUUCUGAACAUCAUCAAAUUUGGCUACCGGCUAGAGUUGGUAGACCUCCCUCCUCUAGGGUAUCUGCGAAUGACAACAUCCAAUCCCACCCUGGAGGAGGAGGUUCUCACUCUACUCCAAAAGAAUGCAAUACAGCGGGUCCCUCGUCGAGACAUUCUCAGGGGGUUUUACUCCUGAUAUUUCACUGUUCCAAAAAAGGAUGGGGGUCUCAGACCCAUACUAGACCUCAGGGACCUCAACAAUUACCUUCAGCCAUGCCGGUUCCGGAUGGUCACCCUGGAGUCCAUCAUACUCCAGUUGAGAAAGGGAGAUUGGUUUGUGGUUAUAGACCUGAAGGACGCAUACGUCCACGUCACAAUACACCAUCAUCACAGGAAGUAUCUGUGGUUCAUAAUCAACAACAAGGUCUACCAGUAUGCAGCCUUACCAUUCGGCUUAGCAACGGCUCCAUGCACGUUUACAAAGUGCAUGGCUCCAGUGGCUGCAUUUCUACGUCUACAAGGUGUAAAAGUAUUCCAGUACAUCGACGAUUGGCUCAUAGUGUCACCGUCCAGACGGAAAGCCAUUCAGGACACCAAAUUCACUCUCCACACUCUGCAAAGUCUAGGACUCACCAUAAAUUUCGAGAACUCUACCCUGAAGCCUUCUUGAGUUAUGAGUUACAGUAUAUAGGAGCAACACUGGACUCCAGAAAGGCAAGGCUUUUUCUUCCUCCAGAGUGCAUCCACAAACUACAGACCGCUCUUCAAAAGUUUCAACCACACGCCCUGGUGUCAGCACA
rnacentral:lncRNA from 1 species